rnacentral:sRNA from 1 species
ACUAAUGUGAUAACCAGAUUAUGCAAUGGCGUCCCAGUGAGAAGAUAUCUGUGAACAAUGAAGACAGCUGACAAACAGGGAAGGAAGCUUUGCUGUGAAGUGCCCGUUCAGGUUCCAAUUGCCUGAUCUUCAAGUCAAGAGGCAUCUAAAAGCUUCCUUGAUUGUCCAGAAUAAAUAGGGAAUAUUUUAGUGAACCAGUUUCACCAUUUUCAUCUCCUUCACAUCACAGACUCUAUAUAUAGAGAUUAAAACUUGUCUUUAUCAAGAAUACAAGAAACUAGAAGUAAAGACUAAAAAAAAGAUGUAUCUGUGAAUUCCAAUGGAAAACCAGAUGUUUCUAAAAUGGAUAAAAAUGAACCUGUUAUGUGUGCAAAAUACUCAUAUAUGAAGUGAGGAACUGUUCAUUGUUUAGAACAAUACAAUAAGAGAGUAGGAUCAAGGUGUAAAAACAAAGAUCUCUUAUUACCGUACAACCUUUGAUAAAAAUAAGUUUCAAAGGUUCUGUUUCAGAAGGGUACUUUGGUAUGCAUAUCUCUCAAGUGUUUGCCUAUCAGUAGAGAUUUGAUUGUUAAAUGCUGGUCUAAUGGAGCAGAUUGAUCAAUACUUCUCAAUACGACUCUGACCUCCUGAAGAUUCUGUCGACUGUGUGUGAUUCACACUGGCUCACACAGAAUUAUUCAAAGCUAAUAUGCAGCCAAAAAACAGAUGCUUUUAACAAGAAUAUCCCAAGACCGCAUUAGCAUAAUUUUAAUUUUUGUCUUAUUUCUCAUGAUGUAAUCACGUUAAUGUUGACAGCCUGAGGUUAAAGGGCACAACCUUGUGAUCCCUUGCUUGACAAAGAUUUCGGCGCCCACAUCAAAUUUACAUAUGUAGCACAAGUAAGUUGACAUCUCCUUAAUUAAACCACAAUGCAAGCUU